AAGCGAUUACUUGCACUGCGUAAACUGUGUGGCAUACCUGAAGAGGAAAUCAUUAUGGAGGCACAUGCAGAGAUGCCACCUAAACCAGCAAAUCAAAGGAAUGAAGCCAGGAAAAACUCGAGUUCAGUCUCUUUGCGCGUAUGCUGAACCAGUUCCAGACAGCAUAAAUGCAAAAUUUUGGAAAAUGGUGCUUGAAAUGCACGAGGAUGAGAUAACGAAUGUGGUCCGCAAAGAGAAAAUCAUAUUAAAAUUAGGGCAGCAUCUCUUUAAUAAGCAUGGCCAUGAUGUCACAAAACAUGAAUAUAUCCGACAAAAGAUGCGUGAGACGGGGCGCCUAGUCCUCCAAGGAAGAAAGAACGGCAAGUUGAAGGAGGUGUCAGAUUUCUUCAUCCCGGCUAAUUUUCCUCAUGUCAUCGAAGCGGUUCACAGUGUGGCUGGCUGGAAUGAGGAAACAAGCACAUACAAAGCUCCAUCUUUAGCCCUGAAGUUAGGGCACAACCUCAAGAAGAUGGCUAACAUUAUUGAAUGUGAGGCAAUGAUGUCCGGUGAUAAGAAUACACUUAGCAAUGUGCAGGCCUUUAAACAAAUCUGCGAUACUAAAUGGAGUGAGUGCGUGUCGUCCCAGGCCCUCCGAAAUUUGAGUGAAGCAAAAUGGAACUCUCCACAACUUCUUCCCUUUGCUGAAGACGUGAAGAAAAUGCACCAGUAUCUGGACAGCCAGAGUAAGGAGCAUCAGACAAAACUUGAAGAAGAACCAAGUAUCAAGCACUGGGCAGAACUUGCGAAGGUGACACUCUGUCAGGUGAUACUUUUUAAUCGUAGAAGGGAAGGAGAGGUAUCCAAGAUGUCCCUUAAUUCUUUUAUAUUGAGGGACACCUCCUCGACUCAUCCAGACGUAGAGCUUGCUUUAUCAGACCUUGAGAAGUCACUUUGUAAGUAUUUCCAGAGGAUUGAAAUAAGAGGCAAACGUGGACGAAAGGUCCCCAUUCUUCUCACACCAGAUAUGGUGACAUCGAUGGAGUUGCUUGUCAAGACUCGCCGUAACUGCGAUGUGCUCGAUGAGAACAUGUUCAUGUUUGGAAGACCACAAGCACUCAGUCACUUCAGAGGAUCAGAUGUUAUUCGUCAGAUCGCUCGAAGCUGUGGAGCAGAACACCCAGCGGCGUUAUCCUCCACGAGACUGAGGAAGCACAUGGCCACCAUGUCCAAGGUCCUUAACUUAAAGGACAAUGAAAUGGAUGACCUUGCUGACUUCCUAGGACACGACAUCAGGGUCCAUCGACAGUACUAUCGGCUACCUGAAGGUACAUUACAGCUGGCCAAGAUAAGUAAAAUUCUUAUGGCCAUGGAACGAGGACAGCUAUCUGAAUUCAAAGGAAGGAAUCUCGAUGAGAUCCAGAUCGAUCCACAAGGUAAAACAAGCCUGAGUAAAUAACCAAGUAAACUCAUUUACACAUUUUCUUCCAUAGUUUUUUUUUUUAUUUAUUUCUUUGGUAGAUGGCAAUGAAAAAAAUAAAGCUGAUUGAAAAAUCUCAAAUACCAUGUUACAAUCAGCAGGAACACCACUGUUGGUCAUAGACAUUUAUUGAAUGUAGCUGUUUAAAAAAUAUUUAGUUUGCUUCCUAAUUAUUUAGUUUGUGUGGUGUCUGUGUUUUCUAGAGAGAGUACUGAUGGACAGUGAUGGAUCAGACUCUGAGAACGAGAAAGAAAUGACUGAAAAUGAUGCUUCAGAUUCACCUUCAAAUUCAGCAGGUAUG
ensembl:lncRNA